rnacentral:misc_RNA from 1 species
CAACCCUCAAGCCCUGCUUGGUGUUGGGGUCCUACAGCAAUGUAGGCCCUGAAAACUAGUGGCGGGCUCGCUAUAACUCCGAGCGUAGUAGUAAUAUCUCGUUUAGGAAGUGUAGCGGGUUCUUGCCGUUAAACCCCCCAUUUUAUAA